UACGUAGGGUGCGAGCGUUAAUCGGAAUUACUGGGCGUAAAGCGUGCGCAGGCGGUUUUGUAAGCCAGAUGUGAAAGCCCCGGGCUCAACCUGGGAAUGGCAUUUGGGACUGCAAGGCUUGAGUGCGGCAGAGGAGACUGGAAUUCCUGGUGUAGCAGUGAAAUGCGUAGAGAUGUGGAGGAACACCGAUGGCGAAGGCAGCCUCCUGGGCCGACACUGACGCUGAUGCACGAAAGCGUGGGGAGCAAACAGG
rnacentral:rRNA from 1 species